GUGCUCCCUUUGGCAGCACAUUUAUUAAAAUUGGAAAAAUACAGAGUUUAGCAUGACCCUGUGCAAGGACAACAGGCAAAUUCAUGAAGUGCUCCAUAUUUUU
ensembl:snRNA U6 U6 spliceosomal RNA